rnacentral:tRNA from 1 species
CAAAUUAUAGCUUAUACUAAAGCUUAUUAUUUACAUUAAUAUUAAAAUAUUUUAUUUAAUUUGA